GCCAGCGUGGUGUAGUGGUUUGGGUGUUGUACUACAGCGCUGGAGGCCAGCGUUCGAAUCCCUGCUCAGCCA